UACUUCGAUUUGAAGAAAGACACAAGAUUCUGAACUUGUUUUCUUCUUUAAAAAGUAGAUUUACUUAUUUUAUUUUUCAGUAUAUGGUUGUUUGCCUCUAUGGAUGUAUGAGGAGGUCAGAAGAGGGCAUUGGAUCCCCUGGAAGCGGAGGUCCCUUUCGUGCCUAAGAAGACAGUGACUUCCUAUGAGUGUCCGUUGGCGCUGUACCACCCUUGGGUGGUCCCCUCACCUCCUCACAGCUCUAUGACUGGUUCCUUCAGUUACCUUGGGAGAAUGAUCUUGGCUAUGGGUUCCUUGUUGAUUCAACUGGAACCUAGAGAAAAACCCCUCUAAAUGAAGAAACUCUCUCUAUAUAUAAGGUCCAAAUUCCUCCCUGAGUCGCUGCAAAAUUUUUUUCUGCUCUUCCAUCUGUCUGUGCCACCUCAGCGAAUGCCACUUUCAGAGAGAAAGAACCCCUGUUUGCUCAGCGUCUUGACGACUGCCUGCAGUCCAUCGAUCCCAUUUGAGCAAACCACGGACGGUCAGGGAGGCAUUCUGGUGCUGUCCCUUUAAGAAAAAAGAAAGGAAUCGCUCAGCCCCGCCCUACCGGACCCUGGGCCUGUGAAGUUCUGGAGUUUGAGGAUUUGCGAUAGAGCCAAGAUAAAAAGAAUUAAAAACAAAUUGAACUUAAAAAAAAAAAAAAGCAACAGCAAAAAUAUUUUUUUUGUUCCAAGUUCAUAGGCAUUUCUAUCCCAAGUUGCAGUGCCCCAGGGGGGAUAUGAACCAGGGUCACCCGUGGCCCCUUGUGGGCCUUCUCCCUAGCCCCGCCCCAAGCAUGGCAACCCUCGGAGAAGACGGGCGUUUGUCCCCGUCAGCUCCCCCUCCCCCCUCCAGCCACUCAUCUUUCCCCUUUAAACUGUUGGCUUCGUAAUGGUUUUCCUCCUGCUGCCAGGGGGCGAGAGGUGUAAAUGCCCGAGGAGCAGCUGCUGGUGAGCUCUCCAGUGCGGAUCCUGUGGGUGGGGCCGGCAGUAGGCAAGAGAGACCCAGAGAGAUUAGGUGAAACCUUAGCCGCGGCCUUCUGGACAUGGUCCAGUGUCUUUCAAUGAUUCCUUUGUGUGCUUUGGGUGCUGGGCUUGUUUGGCAGGGGACGGGCACCCAUUAGACGAUUUCACAAUGAUUUGCCAUGUUACAGUUCUAAACAUGUCAACUCAUCACCGAGGUUAAAUUUGUAUUUUUACAGUCGUUUUUUUAGACUCUCACACCGCCCCCCCCCCCACCGCAACACACCCUCCUCUCCCCGGGAGCUUCAGGGAAAAGUACUCUAAGAGAAUUAAUCAAAAUGACUAGGUAAUGCUCUAAAAAUAAUAAAUGUCGUUACAGGCUGGAUCCCUUUCAAGUUCGAGCUCAUUCUGAAAGCCUGAAGAUCCACAUGUCAAGUUUCAUGUAUAUUACUUUUUUAUUAGGAGGAAGUGCCCUAUUGUGUAGACACAGGUACAUUAUGAAGACACAUGGAUGUUACGACUCGCCCAUCACCACCGGGCUGGUUUUCAGCUAAGUUUAUUAAGCAACGUGGUUGAGGAGGGGGCAAAGGGCGGACACUGAACUCCUUACCCUCUCUUCUUAAACCAGACUUGCAAAUUAGGAUCUGCUACAGACGGGCUUGGGCUUGGAGCUCUGAACACAAGGGUAGCAGAGAUCCUGGUCCAGUUAGUGACAUGGUUUGGUUUCCCUCGCCCCACCCACUGGACAGUACUCCAGCUAGGCGAAGGCGUUAGAAAAUACAGAAAGACAGAUUGUUAGUGCAUGCAGACAACAGCAGCAGCAACAACCAAAUGAACAAGUAACUUUGUGGGCUUGUUGUUGUCGCCGUCGUCGUUUUGUUCUGUUUUUAGACAGAUUCCCCUAUUGUAAUCACCUGGCUUUGAACUUGAGAUCCUCCUGCCUCAACUACUCAAGUGCUUGAAUUACAGCUAUGUAACUGCUGUUAUCGUGGCUUCAAAAUAUUAACUCCAAAAGAAUGUGUGUGCAUGUGUGUGUGUGCGCAUGCUUGCAUGCAUGCAUGCUUUGUGUGUAUGUGUACUUGCAGGUGUGUGCGUGUGUACUCAUUCUAGAGUGUGUGGAGACCACAGGCUGACAUCAGGGGCCGUCCUUAACUGCUUUCUAACUUAGUUUUUGAGACAAGAUCUCAUGCUGAAACUGAAACUCACUGAUUUCGCUAGUCUGGCAGGCCAACAAGCCCCAGGAUCCACCCAUCUCUCUCUCUCUCUCUCUCUCUCUCUCUCUCUCUCUCUCUCUCUCUCUCUCUCUCUCUGUGUGUGUGUGUGUGUGUGUGUGUGUGUGCGCGCGCGCGCGCGCGCAUGCGCGUGCCAGGAUUGCAGUUGUGUGCUGCCAUCUGCAUGGGUGCUGGGAAUCUCAACUAAAUUCUCAAGCUUGCACAGCAAGGAAUUUACCUACUCAACGAUCUCUCCCGCCUCCCCCCCAUCCCAAGAAUGUUUUUUUAUAAAUGGGGGGCAGGGUAGCUUAAGGUACUUAAGGCCUUUAAGCAUGGCUGGAACAAGGUCAGUAAGACUUAAGGUGAGGCUGAGGGGGGAAAUCUGUGUCAGAGGAGAAAGGAAGUGGUGGUGAUGAGGUGGAUCCCUUUCCUUCUUUAACUGAUAAAGUCCCUGUUUUCCCGUGGGCCCUUCCAGCAAGUAGAUGCCCCCCAAGUAUCCAUGAGCAAGGGCCCUAACCAUCCGCAGUCCAUAGAUCAUUUGUCUGUGUCAGGCCGGGCUGCUAGGUCAGGGCGCUUGUGAUGAAGAAUAGGAGUGAGGAUUCCUGAGGCUUGACUGUGUGUGUUAUUUGUGCCCAAGUCGAAGCCUGGGGCUAAGUCACUAGGAUAUUUCCGACCUAAGAAAUGCCAUCUGGCCUGAGACUAUUCCUUAGAUAAUUCCAGGGCCUUCAUCCUCCAAAGAAAGGCUGGUUGCCGUGCUCUAAGUCCCGGCCUUCCUUAGCCGGCCUCCAUAAAUCAUGGCUGGCAGGAAAGACUGGAGGGUCAUGGGUAAUUGAAUUCCAACCAACCUUCACAUCUAAUUCAAGCCAACCCUCCGACUGGACUCUUUGCUGGAUUAAUCUGCUGUCAGAGCCGGUAAAUAACUAUUGUUUUUAAAUUCGAAGAAACCCAUUGUUGAGGGCCUACUGUGCAUGAGCUUCUUGAGAGGUGCGGUCAUCAUCCCAGCUCAUUCACUCCCCCCUCCCUCUUUCAUUCCUUCAUGCUGUCCACACUCCUACCAGAACCCAGACUUGAGAAGUUAUCUGGCAGUGGGGAGGAAAAUAAAGGUCAUCUUGGGGUCAUUCCUGCAGAAAACUUGUUCUCCGGACUCCCUAAGCUCCUGCUGGGGAGAUAGGUCAUUUACCAUGGGGACGCCGAAGCUGAUUCUGUGCAAGAAAACGGAUAAGGAUGUUUCAAAAACGUCAGUCCCCAGCCCCUGAAGACUCUUAUUCAAGUUCUUCGCCACCAUAUUUGAUGUGGGAUGUCAGGUCUGGGGGUUGAAGGGUUCUCACCUGUGAUGUGCUUGGGGGUGGGGGUGGAGAGGAGCUGUCCUCACCAACACUGCUUGGGAAGAGACCAGGGAGCUCUAGGUCCCUCACGCCUGUGACAUUACUGCUAAUGGCUGUCACUCUCUGUCGGGACUCAGCAGCCCCAGCCUCCGUGAUAGGCCUGCCUGGACACUAAGCCUGAGGCAGACAAUGCUUGUUCAAGAGUCCCUUCAGUGGAACUGUCUCCGGACUUCACUCCUUUGGAUGAUAGGAGGGCCCUGUGAUGUUGCCAGUGGCCUGGGGACCCCCGAGCAGCCCGGAAAGCAGUGUUUAGGUGGAAAUGUUAAUGGAAUUCUCCCUUGCUGCUGGGCUGUCCCUGGCAUUGCACAACGCGCAUGAACUGCCCUCCUUAGUCUCCAUGGAGAUUCCACGAGUCGUUAGCAGAGGAAACUCUGUCAGAAAGGUGAAGAAACGUGUCCGAGGUCCGAUGGCUCGUGAGCAGCGGAGUAAAGGUUCCAAAUAUGGCAGAUUGGUCCCAGCUGUUUUGAGAGAAAUCACAGGACCACACUUGUUCCAAGACCUCAAGUCUGGUCUUCUAGACUCUACAGAUGAGUUCAGGCAUUUUAUUUAGCUCUACAGCUGUCACUAUUGGAAUGGCUGCCAAGUCUCCCGGCCCGUCUUCCCUCCAAUUCUGUAUUUCUGUUUUAUCGAGAAGGUAUUUGCAUCCAACCCCGUGUGGUCACGACUAGGCUUCUUAAGUCAUCCCCACAGGCCUCUGCGUUGGACAGGUUCCUGACCUUUUCUGAACAGUCUACGACUUGAAAGCUUGUUCCAGAGAUACCUCAGCCUGCAAUGUUUCGGCCUGCAUCACACGUCUCACAAGAACAUGGAACAUGUUAAGUUGCAUUAUAAAGAAAAAAAAAGCAGAGAGAAUGCCGCCCGGAACGGUGCUGUCUACAUGCGGCGGCCAUCAUGACCGUCAUCACUGUUCCUCUGUUGAUGAUCAUCUUCUGCUUGCUAGCCACUUCCUCCUCGCGUCACUUCCUGGUACCGAGGGGAGCAUCUGACCUUCCGAACUGCUUUGUUGCCUUCAGUUUACUCCCCAGGCCCAGGGAGCUUCUGGAACACUGGACUGUUUAAGUGAUCCUUAAUACUUCUCGGUUCCCCGUCCGUCCAUUCAGCCCUCCGUAGCCCGUCAGCAACACACUUUUGACACUCCAGAGAAGCUGGAUCUGGGGCUGUAAACAGUGUUUUGAAACACUUCUAGAAUCAGUUCCGUGAAACUACAAGUGUUUUAUUCAAAUAAGUGCAACAGGCUGGCAAGAUGGUUUGCUAGGUGAAGGCAUUUGCUGCUCAGCCUCGCAACCUGAGUUCCCUCCCUGAAGCCACGGAGAAGCAGAAGGAACCAACAAUAUGACAUUGUUCUCUGACCUUCACACGCGUGUCAUGGCAUAGGUGACCCCUCCUACACUUCAUGCAGCAGACUUUAAAAUGUAAAUGAAGUCUCGUCUACAGAAAUAGUCCUCUGAAGAAUCGGAGUGGCUCUUCUUCCUUCUAGGGCUGUCACAGACACCACCUGAGUUAAUACCAAUAAGUUCUGAGAACUCAGCAGUGGGAGUGAUAACCAUAAACAAGGUCAUGGACAGUAGGAAGGAAUCAAAAAAGAAUAGGCCUCAGAGCCAGCGAGCUUUGAGGGGUGCUGAGGAGGGAAAGGUGGGCUUGACUCAGGGAGCAAUCCGGGCAAGGGGCACUUGAGAAAGCUGUGGUGAGGGGAAAAGGGAACCAAAGACUGAUGCUGGCUGCUUGAUA